rnacentral:tRNA from 1 species
GCCGCUAACUGCAAAUCACCCGGUGAAGCGGACUUAAAAUCCGCCCAGUGUCGGUUCGAGUCCGACUGGGGGCA